GGUUCGAUCCUGGCUCAGAUUGAACGCUGGCGGGAUGCUUUACAUGCAAGUCGAACGGCAGCCUGGACUUCGGUCUGGUGGCGAGUGGCAGACGGGUGAUAAUGUAUCGGAACGUGUCUAGUAGCGGGGGAUAACUACGCGAAAGCGUAGCUAAUACCACAUACGCCCUUCGGGGGAAAGCGGGGACCUUCCGGGCCUCGCAUAUUAGAAGCGGCCGAUAUCGGAUUAGCUAGUUGGUGGGAAUUAACGGCUCACCAAGGCGACGAUCCGUAGCUGGUUUGAGAGGACGACCAGCCACACUGGGACUGGACACGGCGGAGCUACGGGAGGCAGCAGUGGGGAAUUUUGGACAAUGGGGGAGACCCUGAUCAGCCAUCCGCGUGUGCGAUGAAAUUGUUCGGGUUGUAAAGCACUUUUGGCAGGGAAAGAAACGGCACGGGAUAAUACCCCGUGCAACUGACGGUACCUGCAGAAUAAGCACCGGCUAACUACGUGCCAGCAGCCGCGGUAAUACGUAGGUGCAGCGUUAAUCGGAAUUACUGGGCGUAAAGCGUGCGCAGGCGGUUCGGAAGAAGAUGUGAAAUCACAGAGGCUUAACUUUGGAACUGCAUUUUUAACUACCGAGCUAGAGAGUGUGUCAGAGGGAGGUGGAAUUCCGCGUGUAGCAGUGAAAUGCGUAGAUAUGCGGAGGAACACCGAUGGCGAAGGCAGCCUCUGGGAUAACACUGACGCUCAUGCACGAAAAGCGUGGGGAGCAAGCAAGUUAGAUACCCUGGUAGUCCACGCCCUAAACGAUGUCAACUAGCUGUUGGGGCCUUCGGGCCUUGGUAGCGCAGCUAACGCGUGAAGUUAAGCCGCCUGGGGGUACGGUCGCAAGAUUAAAACUCAAAGGAAUUGACGGGGACCCGCACAAGCGGUGGAUGAUGUGGAUUAAUUCGAUGCAACGCGAAAAACCUUACCUACCCUUGACAUGUCUGGAAUCCCGAAGAGAUUUGGGAGUCUCGCAAGAGAACGGAACACAGGUGCUGCAUGGCUGUCGUCGAAAGUUCGUGUCGUGAGAUGUUGGGUUAAGUCCGCAACGAGCGCAACCCUUUGUCAUUAGUUGCUACGAAAGGGCACUCUAAUGAGACUGCCGGUGACAAACCGGAGGAAGGUGGGGAUGACGUCAAGUCCUCAUGGCCCUUAUGGUGGGGCUUCACACGUCAUACAAUGGUCGGGACAGAGGGUCGCCAACCCGCGAGGGGAGCCAAUCCCAGAAACCCGAUCGUAGUCCGGAUCGCAGUCUGCAACUCGACUGCGUGAAGUCGGAAUCGUAAGUAAUCGCGGAUCAGCAUGUCGCGGUGAAUACGUUCCCGGGUCUUGUACACACCGCCCGUCACACCAUGGGAGUGGGUUUUACCAGAAGUAGUUAGCCUAACCGUAAGGAGGGCGAUUACCACGGUAGGAUUCAUGACUGGGGUGAAGUCGUAACAGGUAA
rnacentral:rRNA from 1 species